AUCUGAAGUCGACGAUCGAGAGCAACUCUGUCUUAAUUUGAAGAUUUUAGCCCUCUGUCUUAAUUCGAAAAUUUCAGUCGCGAUUUCAUCCGUUGGUGCCUCCCUCUCUCCCUCUGUCUUACUCCAAAAAUUUCAGCCGUGAACUAGAGCUCUAACGACCCCGCGAACCAGAGCCCUGAUCUGCACUUCAUCAAACUUAAGGGUUUGGAUGGCCAUGAAGAGGCGGAAGGCACUUCAAAUUUCAUGCAUAGGAAAUGCCUCUGAUGUACAACAGCAACACACCAUCUAUUAUGUUUUUGUAGUGAAGCUUCAUAGCAGCAACACAAAAUUGUCCUAUUGGCUCACAAUGCAUCUAUUAUGUUUUUGUAGUGAAGCUUCACAACAAUAGUAAAGUUUAUUGUUUGCUAUAGUUAGAAUUAAUUGAGAUGAGAUUUGAAGAA